rnacentral:rRNA from 1 species
UGUUGGGAUUGAGUACAGACGAGGUAGGCGGAAUUGACGGUGUAGCGGUGAAAUGCAUAGAUAUCGUCAGGAACACCGAUAGCGUAGGCAGCUUACUAGACUGUAACUGACGCUGACGCACGAAAGUGUGGGGAUCAAACAGGAUUAGAUACCUUGGUAGUCCACACUGUAAACGUUGAUGACUCGCUGUGUGCGAUAUACAGUACGCGG